GGAUAACCUACCUAUAAGACUGGGAUAACUUCGGGAAACCGGAGCUAAUACCGGAUAAUAUAUUGAACCGCAUGGUUCAAUAGUGAAAGACGGUUUUGCUGUCACUUAUAGAUGGAUCCGCGCCGCAUUAGCUAGUUGGUAAGGUAACGGCUUACCAAGGCAACGAUGCGUAGCCGACCUGAGAGGGUGAUCGGCCACACUGGAACUGAGACACGGUCCAG
rnacentral:rRNA from 1 species